rnacentral:lncRNA from 1 species
GGUUACCCAGCUGCUCCUGAUUUGUGUGUGGAUACCGAAGAUCCAGGCGCAAGUCCUCAUGCUGGCACACAAGCAGUACACCUACUGCAGCCCUCCCUCUCCUUUUGUUUCUCUAUCUAAAGUUAUUGGCUCCACAUGGGCUCUGUGCGGGGUUUGUUAAGCUCUCCCGCUGUCUUCAGUGUGCCUGUGCAGUCUUCAAGUUCUAGCUUAUUGGUUUCCACACGGGCUUUAAAAGACUAAUGUCUGUGUGUAACAAGGGUGUUUCUGCAAGACUAAGUGUGAAUGUGGCAGAUUUCAUGACAGUCAAAACUCAGCACGUCAGGUGGGUGUGUCUGCAGUGGGCACUGAGGCUCCAUUGCAUUCACAUCCAUGCUGUGGGCCUGGGCCUCUUAUUGCUUCUGAACCAGAAGAGGAUAGGGGUCUGCUGACCCAAGCUCCACUGACCAACCUGGCUUUGUCCCCAACCCCAGGUACUGCAGGGUGCUCAGCUCAUAGCCGUGGCCUCUUCAGACCCUGCAGCUACAGGAGUAGAUGGGUCGCCUCUCCAGGGCAGUGACAUUCAGGUUCAGUAUGUCCAGCUGGCGCCCGUGAGUGACCACACGGCUGCAACGCAGACAGCUGAGGCACUGCAACCCACUCUGCAGCCUGAAAUGCAGCUUGAACACGGGGCCAUCCAGAUCCAGUGAGACCAGGCAUUGUAGGAGCACCGCACCACAGCUGCUCACUGACCUGCCCUGUGCCCUGCUCUCUUGCUUCAGCAAGCAACUGCAGGUUCUACUGGGCAUCCGAGAGCUCCUCCUCCCAGGGAAAGGUCCUGGCCACCCCCUGCUGGAAGGUGCCUCAGGGUUUGCGUCUCACUGCUGGUCUCCAAAGGAGAGGCAUAGUGCAGAGUGUUGAGUACGUUCAGAAAAACAAGAACUACGAUAUUUUGUUUAAACAGCUUUUUUAAUUUGCUAUGGUGUUUAUAACAAAAAAGAAAAUGGAAAAA